GCUGCCGUAGCUUAAAUGGAUAGAGCUAGCCCGUCCUAAGGGCGAGAUGAGGGUUCAAUUCCCCCCGGUAGCACCA
rnacentral:tRNA from 1 species